AAUAAAUGACCGGAUAACAUUAUUGAUUUGAAAUUCAAGAGAUUUAAUACCAUUUGAAAUAUGAGAUAAUAAGAUUUUGAAAAAUAAUGAAAUUCAAAAUUUUUGGCUCAAUCUGAAACCCUUUUCAAACUCUAAUCUGACUAUUAUAAAAACCCACAAUCAGUUCACAACCGGGGACGGAGGAGAGAUACGGCAACCAUAGUAGCAAUUACAAAAAAAAGUGUACGGUAAUUUGGAUUUUUGGUUCUGUUCUCAGUGUUUCGAAACUUUAAUAUUUUGAAGGAAUUUAGGAAGUUCAAGAGGAUCAAAUUCCUUUCAGAAACACGUUUCUGGAUAAUUCUAGAAAUUCUUGGAAUUUUCUUGAAUUUUCCAGUGGGUUGUUGAAGUUUUAAAGAGAUUUUGCAUAUUCCUGCGGCCUUUUGCAGAUUCCGACGAGCUUUUCGGUAAACUUGGCAGAUUCUGACGACCCUUUGCAGAUUUUCGACGAAUAUUCGAACGACGAUUAAAGAUACUGGUUAAACUUUCGACGAACUUUGAAAUUUCCUGCAACUUUUGCAGUUUUCGGUGACCGACGAUUGGGCCCUUUUCUACAUAGAAGUCCAAGCCCAAUCCUAGAAAGAGAAGAAGAAAGCAAAAACUAAAGUAAUUUUUUAUUUUCUGAGCAUUUAUGCUGCAAAACGAUGCAGUUUUGAUGGGGCUAGACCUGCGCUCUGCCCCGUCCAGACCUGCGCUCUGAACCCAUCCCAGAUUUUUAGCUAGACCUGCGCUCUGCUCCGUUCAGAUCUGCGCUCUGACCCCAUCC
rnacentral:lncRNA from 1 species